CGAAAGCCUGACGGAGCAACGCCGCGUGUGGGAAGAAGGCUCUUGGGCUGUCAACCACUUUUCUCAGGGAAGAAGACCUGACGGUACCUGAGGAAUCAGCCUCGGCUAACUCCGUGCCAGCAGCCGCGGUAAUACGGAGGAGGCAAGCGUUAUCCGGAAUCAUUGGGCGUAAAGCGUUCGUAGGCGGCUGUUCAAGUCUGCUGUCAAAGACCGAGGCUCAACCUCGGGUCGGCAGUGGAAACUGGUGAGCUAGAGGGCGACAGGGGUAGAGGGAAUUCCCAGUGUAGCGGUGAAAUGCGUAGAGAUUGGGAAGAACACCGGUGGCGAAAGCGCUCUACUGGGUCGCACCUGACCCUCAGGGACGAAAGCUAAGGUAGCG
rnacentral:rRNA from 1 species